CCUACGGGGGGCAGCAGUGGGGAAUAUUGCGCAAUGGGCGAAAGCCUGACGCAGCGACGCCGCGUGAGGGAUGAAGGUCUUCGGAUCGUAAACCUCUGUCAGCAGGGAAGAACGGUCACUGUGCUAAUCAGCAGUGAAUUUACGGUACCUGCAAAGGAAGCACCGGCUAACUCCGUGCCAGCAGCCGCGGUAAUACGGAGGGUGCGAGCGUUAAUCGGAUUUACUGGGCGUAAAGCGUUCGUAGGCGGUAUGUCAAGUCAAGGGUGAAAUCCCCGCGCUCAACUUCGGAACUGACUUUGAGACUGGCAAACUGGAGUGUGUGAGAGGUAAGUGGAAUGCCAGGUGUAGGAGUGAAAUGCGUAGAGAUC
rnacentral:rRNA from 1 species